UAAAACAUAGUGUUGAUGCAUUGGAUCCCAUUAGAACUUCGCAGUUAAGCAUGCUCAAGCUAGAGUAGUAUUGGGAUGGGUAACUACCUAUGAAUUCCUAGUGUUUUAC
rnacentral:rRNA from 1 species